AUUGAACGCUGGCGGCAGGCCUAACACAUGCAAGUCGAACGAGUGGCGGACGGGUGAGUAAUGUCUGGGAACCUGCCUGAUGGGGGGGGAUAACUACUGGAAACCGUAGCUAAUACCGCAUAACAUCAUAUGUGCCCAGAUGGGAUUUGCUUGUUGGUGGGGUAACGGCUCACCAGGGCGAGGAUCCCUCGCUGGGCUGAGAGGAUGACCAGCCACACUGGAACUGAGACACGGUCCAGACUCCUACGGGAGGCAGCAGUGGGGAAUAUUGCACAAUGGGCGCAAGCCUGAUGCAGCCAUGCCGCGUGUAUGAAGAAGGCCGUCGGGUUGUAAAGUACUUUCAGCGGGGAGGCGUUACCCGCAGAAGAAGCACCGGCUAACGCCGUGCCAGCAGCCGCGGUAAUAC
rnacentral:rRNA from 1 species